rnacentral:rRNA from 1 species
GAUGAACGCUGGCGGCGUGCCUAAUACAUGCAAGUCGAGCGAACGGACGAUAAGCUUGCUUCUCUGAUGUUAGCGGCGGACGGGUGAGUAACACGUGGAUAACCUACCUAUAAGACUGGGAUAACUUCGGGAAACCGUAGCUAAUACCGGAUAAUAUUUUGAACCGCAUGGUUCAAAAGUGAAAGACGGUCUUGCUGUCACUUAUAGAUGGAUCCGCGCUGCAUUAGCUAGUUGGUAAGGUAACGGCUUACCAAGGCAACGAUGCAUAGCCGACCUGAGAGAGUGAUCGGCCACACUGGAACUGAGACACGGUAAAGACUCCUAAGAGAGGCAGCAGUAGGGAAUCUUCCGCAAUGGGCGAAAGUCUGACGGAGCAAGGCGGCGUGAGUGAUGAAGGUUGGUGGAUCGUAAAAAACUGUUAUGAGGGAAGAACAUAUGUGUAAGGAAAUGUGCACAUCGUGACGGUACCGAAUAAGAAAGCCACGGAUAACUACGUG